CACCAGGCGCGAAAACUCUACAAUGCAGGCAACUGCGAUAGGGGAACAUCGAGUGAUCCUCAUAUUGGGGGUCUGUCCACCCGCCUAAAAAGCGGGUGUUAGCAAGGGCCGGGCAAGACCGGUGCCAGCCGCCGCGGUAAUACCGGCGGCUCGAGUGGUGGCCGAUAUUAUUGAGUCUAAAGGGUCCGUAGCCGGCUUUGCAAGUCUCUCGGGAAAUCCAGCGGCUUAACCGUUGGUCGUCCGGGGGGUACUACAUUGCUUGGGACUGGGAGAGGUAGGAGGUACUCAGGGGGUAGGAGUGAAAUCCUGUAAUCCUUUGGGGACCACCGGUGGCGAAGGCGUCCUACCAGAACAGGUCCGACGGUGAGGGACGAAAGCUAGGGGCACGAACCGGAUUAGAUACCCGGGUAGUCCUAGCCGUAAACGAUGCUCGCUAGGUGUCACAACAGUCGUGAACUGUUGUGGUGCCGUAGGGAAGCCGUGAAGCGAGCCACUUGGGAAGUACGACCGCAAGGUUGAAACUUAAAGGAAUUGGCGGGGGAGCAC
rnacentral:rRNA from 1 species